UACGUAGGGUGCGAGCGUUAAUCGGAAUUACUGGGCGUAAAGCGUGCGCAGGCGGUUUUGUAAGCCAGAUGUGAAAGCCCCGGGCUCAACCUGGGAAUGGCAGUGGAAACUAGGGGACUGGAAUCUGGCAGAGGGGGGUGGAAUGCCGCGUGUAGCAGUGAAAUGCGUAGAGAUGCGGCGGAACACCGAUGGCGAAGGCAGCCCCCUGGGCUGAGAUUGACGCUCAGGCACGAAAGCGUGGGGAGCAAACAGG
rnacentral:rRNA from 1 species